rnacentral:rRNA from 1 species
GACGAACGCUGGCGGCGUGCUUAACACAUGCAAGUCGAACGGAAAGGCCCUGCUUUUGUGGGGUGCUCGAGUGGCGCGCGGGUGAGUAACACGUGAGUAACCUGCCCUUGACUUUGGGAUAACUUCAGGAAACUGGGGCUAAUACCGGAUAGGAGCUCCUGCUGCAUGGUGGGGGUUGGAAAGUUUCGGCGGUUGGGGAUGGACUCGCGGCUUAUCAGCUUGUUGGUGGGGUAGUGGCUUACCAAGGCAUUGACGGGUAGCCGGCCUGGGGGGGUGGCCGGCCACAAUGGGACUGAGAUACGGCGCAGACUGCUACGGGAGGCAGCGGUGGGGAAUAUUGCACAAUGGGCGGAAGCGUGAUGCAGCAACGCCGCGUUCGGGAUGACGGCCUUCGGGUUGUAAACCGCUUUCGCCUGUGACGAAGCGGGAGUGACGGUAAUGGGUAAAGAAGCACCGGCUAACUACGUG